GAUGAACGCUGGCAGCGUGCCUAAUACAUGCAAGUCGAGCGAAUGGAUUAAGAGCUUGCUCUUAUGAAGUUAGCGGCGGACGGGUGAGUAACACGUGGGUAACCUGCCCAUAAGACUGGGAUAACUCCGGGAAACCGGGGCUAAUACCGGAUAACAUUUUGAACCGCAUGGUUCGAAAUUGAAAGGCGGCUUCGGCUGUCACUUAUGGAUGGACCCGCGUCGCAUUAGCUAGUUGGUGAGGUAACGGCUCACCAAGGCAACGAUGCGUAGCCGACCGGAGAGGGUGAUCGGCCACACUGGGACUGAGACACGGCCCAGACUCCUACGGGAGGCAGCAGUAGGGAAUCUUCCGCAAUGGACGAAAGUCUGACGGAGCAACGCCGCGUGAGUGAUGAAGGCUUUCGGGUCGUAAAACUCUGUUGUUAGGGAAGAACAAGUGCUAGUUGAAUAAGCUGGCAUCUUGACGGUACCUAACCAGAAAGCCACGGCUAACUACGUGCCAGCAGCCGCGGUAA
rnacentral:rRNA from 1 species